UUAAUUUCAGUGCUUUCUUGGAUUUUAUUAGAAACUUUAUUUUUUUUAUCUGAGUCAAUAGCGAGUUAAGAGUUUUCAUAUGGAUAUUUUGGCUUAGUGUUCUUUGGUUCCUAGAUCUGAGAUCUAGCUUAUUUUCCUUUUGGGGCAUUUAUUUUAAUUUUUAUAGCUUUUAUUUUAGUUUUCUAAGGUAGUGCAUUGCAUCAACCCUUCUUAUACCUUUUU
rnacentral:lncRNA from 1 species